rnacentral:lncRNA from 1 species
CAUAUGAUUGUAAAUGUUCCAUAUUUUAGCCAAAUAGCAUCCUUACUGAAUACUUUAUUGUAAAUAAUUUACGUACGGAUUAUGUUUAUGAAAAAUUGCAUAAAAAUAAUAUAUGUGGCAUGAUUAUGCAUUUUAAACUUUUGUGACGCUAUUUAGCAUUUUCUACCUAUUUAUAAAGGUAUGAUUUAUGAAAAAUAUGAAAUAUUUUACGAGCUCUCAGAUAGUAUGACCGCCUUUAGAAAUGGAGGCCAAUCGACACCUAAAGCUAGUAUCAAACAAAAACGGCCAUCUGCCAACAGGUUAAAGUUGGUAACGAAUAUAAACUAUGAGAUUUUAUCGAUUACGAAGACGACCCAGUCAUGGAAUUAUAGUGACCGUAGCACAAAAAUCUGAGCACUGUUUUGAUUAAAAGUAUGGAUAAAUGGCAAACAUUUGACGAUUAUGGAUAUUUUAAAUUGCAUCAUUAGAUUAAUAAACUUGCAUGAUUUGUGCAUACAUGAUUGGUUUGUUGCGACAGCUUGUUAUUAUGAUUAUGAAAUGUUUUAUUUUACAGUAUAAUUCUACUUUUCAAAUGAUGCAUUGAAUUAUGUAAAAAUUUAAUCUUGAUCCGGUAAGGUAGUGCAUGGUUACUUAGUGAACCGCAAAGCUUAUUCAUCUAUUUAUUUAUUUUUUGUUUUGGAUAAUUAAAGUUGCUAGGAGCGGAGAAGAAUAAAUAAAUGAAGGAUAAAA